rnacentral:rRNA from 1 species
UACGAAGGGUGCAAGCGUUACUCGGAAUUACUGGGCGUAAAGCGUGCGUAGGUGGUUCGUUAAGUCUGAUGUGAAAGCCCCGGGCUCAACCUGGGAAUUGCAUUGGAUACUGGCGGGCUAGAGUACGGUAGAGGGUGGCGGAAUUCCUGGUGUAGCAGUGAAAUGCGUAGAGAUCAGGAGGAACAUCCGUGGCGAAGGCGGCCACCUGGACCAGUACUGACACUGAGGCACGAAAGCGUGGGGAGCAAACAGGAUUAGAUACCCCCGUAGU